rnacentral:lncRNA from 1 species
CUUUGCAACCUGAAGCCUCACCACCAACCCUCUGGACCUCAGUUUCUCCAUCUGCAGGAUGAGUUAUUGUUUUGCUUCCUCUCUGAGCAGGUCUUUGCAAAUUAAAUUAGCUAACAUACACAAAAUGCUUGGUUCAUCGUAUACAUCUGACUGAUGGUAGCUAUUAUUGUUGGAUUUAUUUUUAGGAACUAAAGUGUCUUCACUAACCUUACCUCUUGCUUCUUUGUCACUGUCAACACCAGGUCCAAAGAGCCCGUGAAAUAUCUUACUAGGCGGUCAUGAUUUCGGCCCAGGGAAAUCGAAAAUGGCCUGGCAUGCUGGCAACCGAAACAGAUGAUCGGCCAAAGGCCCCACCUGGGGCCACACAGUUGUCGUCCCCGUCGCCCCCCCCUCUUUCGCAGCCACCUGCCAGGCCCAUUCCAGCAGGAGGGUCACCAGGCUCACACACCAAAGGGCUGCAAGGUCUAAUUCCCUUACGAGGAGUGAGUGGAGAGUCAGAAGCCAAGAUCUCAUCCAUCGACCACAGGUGGGGACUUAGGAUUUGAACUCAGGACUGUCUGACUUGAGAGUCUGUGUUUGCUCCUCCUGCCUCACUGACUUCGAUCCUGGGCAAAGUGUCACGGGUGCAACAAAGAAGAGAGUGGAAAACUUUUUGGGGGACAAGGCAGGAUGGUUUCCCCAUCGUUCCCUGCCCACAAAGGCUGUUCCUGAGCACCCGAGGGGACCAUCCAGCUCGCCACCAUCUCAAGUAGCCUGGGACCAAACAGAAUGGCUUCUGGGGCCUCCGGAAAGCCUCGGGCAGAGCUGGCAGGAGCACUCGACUCUCCAGGAAUGCCCUUGUCGGGACUGAAGAGCCGGCUGGCCAUUCACUUCAAUUACCCGGCAGGCAUCCUCCGGAGCCAGCUCCUUUCCGAGUCAGAGUAUAAAUAGGUCAUGUGUGUCUGGAAGCCCUAACAAACGAGAGGGGGGAAAAGAAGGAAGAAGGAGCGAUAGAUUCCCCCCCUUCUCCCCCCCACCCCUUCCCCCCACCACCAGUGUUUCACUGAAGCAGGAAGGAGCGGACCCACCCUGGAGGCUCUGGUUGUGAAAGGUGCAGCCGGGCCUGGAGGAGCUGCGGGGAGGCCGAUAAGGGGGCGCACAGGUCCCCCCCCACCGCCACACCUGCAAGCACCCCCGCGGCCCACACAGGAUCCCCCGGGGCCGUGACCCAAUCGGACACUCGCCAAGCAAUCCACCGAGGGAGGAAGAAUUGGGAUCCCUGGGUGGCGCAGCGGUUUGGCGCCUGCCUUUGGCUCAGGGCGUGAUCCUGGAGACCCGGGAUCGAAUCCCACAUCGGGCUCCUGGUGCAUGGAGCCUGCUUCUCCCUCUGCCUGUGUCUCUGCCUCUCUCUCUCUCUCUGUGACUAUCAUAAAUAAAUAAAAAUUAAAAAAAAAAGGGUCAUGUCCCCAUUUAAAAAAAAAUAAAAUAAAACGUGCACCCGCAAAAAAAAAUAAAAAAAUAAAACGUGCACACGCUGCUCACUCCUGCAGCUGCUGUGUUUGAAAGAAAGAUAUGGGGAGAAAAGAAAUGUAGCAAAUAAUAGAGCCGCUGACGUGUUGCGGAACACCCGGGAGAAGGAGGUGAUUUUCUUGUCAAGCUCCACGGGCAUCAGGACGCUGAGCAGCAGUGGACGGAGAGGACCCAGGCAGGAGCCCAUGUCAGAAACGCGGUGCUGGAUGAGAGGUCUUCCGGGCCCACAUCCCUGCCUAGAUUGUCCCUCCGAAGCGUGGCCCGGAUCAAAUCAAACACUCCGGGGCAAGGGGACUUACAUAGGUGGGGGGGGGAACCCACCACUUCCUGAGAACGUCUCUGUGCCCGCACAGCAGGUUUUACAGAUGGGGCUCCGGGCAGCCCUGCGUGGGAGCGAGGCGUGACUCAGCCCAUACUACACACGAGGGGACAGACUGACACAGAAACGUUCAGCGACUUGCCUGAGGCAGCCCAGCUCAUGGGUAACACAGCCCAUGUUGAAAAUCGGAUCCGAGUCCGGACCCGUGUUUUUCAUUUAUGACACGGCCUCCCAAAACGGUAGGUGAAAACCCUUCACCUCCGAGUGGACACGAUUUGGACAAUGUGGGUUGCUGCAAAAUUGUUUUGCAAGAUUAAAAGCCUGUGCUAAAAAAAUAAAAAGCCUGUGCUCACCAAUUAUGAGCUCCCUGCAGCCCUGCCUCCCCUACGGAUCAAACCGUCAAGAUCCGCGGCAGCCAAGUCAAGGCCGCAGCUUGUCCUGCUCUGUUUUUGACGACCCGGAGCCUCACUGGGUGAGAGUGAGGCCUUGGG